UUUAAAUAGGAAGAAGAGAUAAGGUUUUAGGUAGGAGAUAAGAGUCCAAACUCCUUAGGACUCUAGAAUUAUCGCCGCCACAAAAUUUCUCCUUUUUGUGGCCAGAUAUCACAUGGAGAAAAGGAGCUUUUCCAUGACUUCUUACAUGCAAAAGAGGAGAGGGAGUUGGGUAUAUGUGGCAUCAAAAAUCUGGUAGGUGUGGGCUUCCUUAUAGCGCAU
rnacentral:lncRNA from 1 species